rnacentral:misc_RNA from 1 species
UUUCUGUACUUUAUUG